rnacentral:rRNA from 1 species
AAUGAACGCUGGCGGCAGGCCUAACACAUGCAAGUCGAACGGAUCCUUCGGGAUUAGUGGCGGACGGGUGAGUAACGCGUGGGAACAUACCCUUUGGUACGGAAUAGCCUCGGGAAACUGGGAGUAAUACCGUAUGUGGUCGAGAGACGAAAGAUUUAUCGCCAAAGGAUUGGCCGCGUUGGAUUAGGUAGUUGGUGGGGUAAUGGCCUACCAAGCCGACGAUCCAUAGCUGGUUUGAGAGGAUGAUCAGCCACACUGGGACUGGGACACGGACCAGACUGCUACGUGAGGCAGCAGUGGGGAAUCUUAGACAAUGGGGGAAACCCUGAUCUAGCCAUGCCGCGUGAUCGAUGAAGGCCUUAAGGUUGAAAAGAUCUUUCAGGUGGGAAGAUAAUGACUGUACCACCAGAAGAAGCCCCGGCUAACUCCGUGCCAGCCGCCGCCGUAAAAC